rnacentral:rRNA from 1 species
CUACGGGGCGCUGCAGUGGGGAAUAUUGCACAAUGGAGGAAACUCUGAUGCAGCAACGCCGCGUGGAGGAUGACACUUUUCGGAGCGUAAACUCCUUUUAUAUAGGAAGAAGAUGACGGUACUAUAUGAAUAAGCGCCGGCUAACUCCGUGCCAGCAGCCGCGGUAAUACGGAGGGCGCAAGCGUUACUCGGAAUCACUGGGCGUAAAGAGCGUGUAGGCGGAUUAAAAAGUCAGAAGUGAAAUCCUAUAGCUUAACUAUAGAACUGCUUCUGAAACUCUUAAUCUAGAAUAUGGGAGAGGUAGAUGGAAUCUCUGGUGUAGGGGUAAAAUCCGUAGAGAUCAGAAGGAAUACCGAUUGCAAAGGCGAUCUACUAGAACAUUAUUGACGCUGAGACGCGAAAGCGUGGGGAGCAAACAGGAUUAGAUACCCGAGUAGUC